GCGUAGGCGGCAUUUUAAGUCAGUGGUGAAAUCCUGCGGCUCAACCGUAGAACUGCCAUUGAAACUGAAAUGCUUGAGUACACUGGAGGUAAGCGGAAUGUGUAGUGUAGCGGUGAAAUGCUUAGAUAUUACACAGAACACCGAUUGCGAAGGCAGCUUACCAUAGUGUCACUGACGCUGAUGCACGAAAGCGUGGGUAGCGAACAGGAUUAGAUACCCUGGUAGUCCACGCCGUAAACGAUGAUAACUCGCUGUUGGCGAUACACAGUCAGCGGCUUAGCGAAAGCAUUAAGUUAUCCACCUGGGGAGUACGGUCGCAAGAUUGAAACUCAAAGGAAUUGACGGGGGCCCGCACAAGCGGAGGAACAUGUGGUUUAAUUCGAUGAUACGCGAGGAACCUUACCUGGGCUUAAAUGUAUUAGGAUUGUAUUGGAAACAGUAUUUCCCUUCGGGGCCUUUUACAAGGUGCUGCAUGGUUGUCGUCAGCUCGUGCCGU
rnacentral:rRNA from 1 species